AGACAGGAAAUUAGGCUUACUCUUUUAAUUCAUUUACACUCAGAUGAAUUUGACCAUGGCUUUGUGUAAAAGAAUUAUCUUGAACAAGAAAGGAAGACGUUGCAAGGGGCUACAUAGUCUGACAAACUGUAUAAUAAAUGCAGAAGUGGUACAUGCUAUAGAAAAUGAUUCUUAGUUGAUACUUUUAAGUGUGAUUCGUUGAUUUGAAAAUACUUGUAUAGAUGAGACAAGCUGUCUUGUGUUAGGAUAUUUUGGUUACUUAGAGCUCCUCUGAACUGACACAGGUGAAGAAAUGUUACAAAACAAAGACAUUUAGUUUUUGACUCCCAAAAAUGUGUUUCUGUAAUAAGUUAUAUAUGUGCAAGACUGUGCUUGAUUAAUUUUGUUUCCUAUGGUCUAGUCCCAGACAUUUCUGGAAUCUGCUUUAGAUGUUCCACACUUUUAGAGGGAAAUACAAGCUUUGAAGAAGAAAAAAAAGCUGUUUUCUGCAGUAGAGUGCAGUGUGAACACCAUCGCUCUGUCAAAUAUACUGUCUCCCUAGUGUCUUGGCACACAUGGCCUUGCUGUCUCUGGAACUAGAAGCCCAGACUGGAGGAAAAGGCAUAUGGGCUUUGCAUUGGUCUUCUGGGGGCACACUUAUUUUUGGGUGUCCUGCCGUCCUGUUGCUGGAUUCCAGUAUUAUCAUUAAAAUAGCAAUUGCAGAAAUUGGUAGUGAAUAACAGGAGGAGGGAAUGCUUAUUAGUGGGUAUGAAAUCCAAAUAAGAGAAAGGGAUUGGAGACCUGGUGCCUGUCAGCAUGCAGUGUUGAAGCUAGAUUUGGGACUGAGUGAGCUUCAGGAGGGAUCCUGCAACAUUAAUGACACCCAUCUUGGUAGAUUGUUUUUAAAUGUUCUGUGCAAAGUGUCUGCUCUUUAACACCUUAGUGAUCUGAAUGAUUUCUCAGAGAUUUAAACAUGACUGUUUUGGAGACUUAAGAAGUCAGACGUUGCUUUCUCCCUGUCACUGCCAGAAGUUCUGUUAACAGGUCAGAUGCAUUUUAAGUACUCAGCACUUCAUAAAAGUUGUUGUUAUUUUUCAUUACCAGUCCAUUAACCAUUACUGGCAGUAAACAAAGCUGAUCUUGAGGAAAAUGUUUGGCUUCUUUCUUGUCCCUGGCCAUAGCUUCUCUUUGAACCAUGCCACUAGCAAGCACUUACAGCCCUGUCCUCUGCCCAGCUCUGCCCCCUCAUCCACAGACAGGACAAAUGAGCAGGGCCCCUUGUUUGCACCUCUCCUGCUGAGGACCCUGCUGGGGGGCCCACCCAGACCCCCACUGUCUGUCCUGCUUCUGCUCAGCUCCUAAAGCAGCAUUUUAUCACCAGAAUUUUAAUACUGCAAAUCCCAAGAUUUGGGGGGGGAGAAGCAAAUGCAAAACAAGCCAAGCAAUAAAGAGACAAGAGCUCUUCUCUGGGUAAAACAAAAACCUGAUUCAAAUGAUUCGGCAGGGCAACAGCAACAUCUGCCAGCCGCCUGUCCUGAGCUGACAGUGGCUGUGAAGGGUGGUGCCUGCUCACGGCUUCCCCCCUCUCAGCACCCACAGCUGUCUUUCAGGUGAAGCAGGGGCUUUUUACACUUCUGAGGCGCUCUCUUUAAAAAAUGGCCCAGCUGGAUACCUGCGGGUUUGCGCUGCUUCUCAGGUUUCUCCUCCAAGCGUACAAGGGAUCUAGCCAGGAGAGCAAACCCCUACCAGCACCACCUUCCCUACCCAAAUAAACCAGGAACCUCCUGGCAAACGUGGUGCCCGUUUUUCAUCGCUAACAUUGUCUGUCCUUUGCAAGGAAGCCUGCGACAAAGACCUCCUGAGUGAACUCCUGGACGUGGUUGUUUGGGUCGGGUAUGUUUGCUCUGGGGUUAAUCCCCUCGUAUACACACUCUUCAAUAAAACCUAUCGCAGGGCUUUUUCCAAUUAUAUCUGCUGCCAAUACAAGACCAGUAAAAAAUCAGCGCUGCGACAGAAUCAGUGUCUGAAUGUUGCUUUGACAGCAUUAUACGGGAAAGAUCUGACUUUAACUAGUUACCGAAAUGGCAAUGAACUCAACAGCAUGGAACUAGAUGAAGCUGAGGAGGGUCUAGAAAUGCAGCCAGGGACUUCAGAGCUCUCCAUAAACAGCUGUAAUGUUGUAAGCGAAAGAGUGAGCUGUGUGUAAAGGCAGCUCACACAGCCUUCUGCUACGGUGUAUCUGUAGCCAAAAUAUAUUGUGUAAAAAUGCGUUGGUCAAAGGACAAUGUAAAUAUUGCAUUCUGAACAAAGCUUUUUUUCUUUUUCAAAGAAAAAAGUUGUCUUUCCAGUCCAGUACUUAAAAUCAAAUAUAUUAAUAUACUGCAGUGAAGUUUAAGGUUCUAUAUUUACUGUUAAUACUAGAUCAGAAAUAUUAGUUACUUUGCAUAUGUCAUGGACAAACUGUUUGAAUUUUUCUUCCAGUACAUGAACAAAAAUACUGAAUAUUAUCUCAGGUGGCAUUUGCUGGAGUCCAGAAUGGCGCGUUAAUAGUUAUAUAUCAAAUACAUGCUAUUAGACUUGGUCAGUAUAACUUUCUUUUUCCAGUUGACAGUAAAUAUAUACUUUAAAUCCUCACCCACGUUUGUGCCGUGUAAAGACUGUACAGAAUCCUGGCAGAGAGGCGUCAUGAGAGCGUGGCAGCAUUGCAGUCACUUGGGCAGAUGUGGCGUGUUACAGGUCAGGUCACGGCUUGCUGGCAUCUUGGGACAAGCUCACGCCUCAAGGGACCUCUCUUAUGUUUUGGCUCCCUCUCCAAACCUGCUAAAAUUGGAUCUUUAAAUGCUGCAGGAGUCAGGUUUUCUUGGACUUGAAAAGCAAUCUGAAUCUGUGUGUGUUCAGGGAAGGCUGAAAGGGGAUAGUCAAAACUGGCUGCUCUUCCAACUUGAUUCUAAGUGAACUUCAGAGCAUAGGUGAAUGCUAAACUGCUCUGCUGUUUACUGGGAAUCUCAAGCAUUAGGAAUUUAUUUUUUUCCUCUCACUGUCUGAUGUCCCUACAUGUAUCUACGUGUGCACAUAUAGAGAGAACGUAUCUAGUUUGUUUGAGAACUGCAUAUAGGCAUACUGGUUUUGCUUUGUUUUGUGAAUGUGUGGACAAACUGGAAAGCUAGAGGGAACUGUUGGCUGGUUCUGAGGAUGUAAGAUACUACUAUUGUGAUUCCAAGUUCUUUCUGCCAUUGGUUAGGACUACUGCUUUCCUGCUGUUUUGCAAAUUGUAUUGGCCUGCUGCCAGGAUGCUAAAGAGACUUUUCAGUUAACACAAUUAGAAUUUGUAAUUCUUUUCUAUAUGUGCUUUAGUGACAGUACUUCGGGUUUCUGUGUGGAAAGUAGAUCAGAAUACAAUGAUAAGUAAAUGGAGCAUAUAUAAUUAGUUAAGCCAAGUGCUAUGUACAAAAAAAACAGGCCAUUCAGAAAAGGACUGUAGUACUUGUUUAAUUUUAAGCCUGUGGGUAAAUUAGACUGCGGUAAGUGAUAAGCAUAUACUUAGAGCUACACACACAAAUUUGUGCUUGCAACUGCUCUAACUCCUUUGAUUUUGGUAGGAUUCAUGCUUAACCUCAAGCAUGUCAGUAAUACCCUCCUGAAUGAGGGCCAUCAUUAUAUUAUCAUGACUAUCAGAACAGUUCACUCCUUUUCCAUUUACUUCCUCUGGUUUUACAUCUAGAUGUCUGAAUAUCAUUUCUGUCUUUUUAGUCCUACUAGGCAUUGCCUAGGUGAAUUUGUGUCCAAGUUUUUCACUUCUUCAGCAGGUUUUGUCUUUGUCGAAAUAACUACUAAGUGGUCUGAGAAAAAGUUGGGAUCAGUGGUUUUUCUGAACUGUCCUCUAAGAGUAUUAUCUUUUAGGGGUUUUUUUUCCUAACACCAUCUUGAUGAUUUUAUGAACAUCAUAGCAGUUUUAACAUGAACACUUAAUUCUGAAUGGAGUUGCUAAACUUUAGAAACUGCCUUUGGUAUGUUACUGUUUUUGGUUGUGCUACCUAUCCAUCGGAAACAUUUUAGAAUGGUUUUAACAUGGGCAGUGUUCUUCUCUUUCUUGUUUCUGUUGUGUCAUGUUCAAAUGCUCUAGAUGAUGCUUCUGUUUUUCAUCACCUGGGUUGAGAAAGGUCUUUGGGAUGAUCCCUGUCGUAUAUUAAAAAUAUUUUUAACUGGAAGUUUCAGUAUUUCAGAAAAUCUGUAAUUAAUGUUUAAAUUGAAAGGCUACAAAUGAUUCCACAGUCCGUAUAACACUUCUGAUGGUGUCUUUGGUGAUUUUUGUCAGUAGAGGCCAGAGAAAAUGCUGGGUCAUGGAAUUCAGCUUGCUUUGAUACGGCAUUUGGGCACUUUUGCCUUUUAUUUUUUGGCUUGUUUGGACCUUUCCCUGUUGUCAAGUGAAGAAUGCUAGUCAUGAAACUACAAAAGCUUUAUUUAAAAAAAAAAAAAAAGGAAAAAAAACCUUUUUGGUGCACCCAACUGUUUUCUGUAAGCCUAAGUAAAUUUCUGCAGUACAGGACGUAGUCUGAAGAAAGUUGCCGCAGGCUGCUGGACUGAUUCAAAAGACUGAACAAUUUGUAAGCCAAGUACAGACCCAGAUGACAGGCUGGUAUUGUUCUGUUCCAUCACUCUGUGCUUUGAGGCCUGACUGUUAGGACAAAAGAACAUUAAUCCUCGGCUCUGAUGCCAACCCAGGAAAUUCUUACAAGACUUUCAGAGUAGCUGUUCCAUAGGAUGGACCCAGGCAGCACUUAAUGAGCCCCCCGUAAUAUGAAUUUAAUGUCAGGCAACAGCAGGCUCUCUCCUCCAAGCUAACCUUUGAUCUCCUUGAUUAAGAAUCUAACCCACAACUGGGUGUGUUUUCACAAGCGUGGGAAUGCUCUAGGUACAUUAUUCAAUUCACAUGGGCUUGUGCUCUAGAUCAUUUGGGUGCUUUGAGAAAAACAUCUGCCUAACAGAAAGCUUAAGAACUGAAGUACGGGUGCUGUCGGUGCCAGUGCCAUCAUCUGUGACGCAUGAAAGGUCCAGGACAAAGAGAAGAAAACCACCUCAAUGCUGUCAGCAGGUGGACUUACACCUCAUCAGAGCCCUGCAACAUGAGAACAGCCACAUGAGUGGGAGCUACUGACAUACCUGAAAAAAUUCUUUGCUUUUCUUUAGGGCAGUGUCAUAGUUCUGCUGAUGCUGCAAAAGCAAGGGAAGUUUUUGUCUUGGGAAGGAGAGAGAGCUGCCUAGAAGAGUUCACUGGGCUGCCACCCGUAGGAAAAACCCAACCAGCCCUCACUCAGUAACUUAAAGGGCUGCUGUCCUCCCUCUGGGGAAAAGCUUGGGGGUGCGUGGACAGGUUGGCCAAGACUGCAUUCCUCCACAUGGAAAUGAUGGAGUGACAUGGAGUUCCAGAUUAAAUAUCAGAGCUUCUUUUAGACCAGGCCACUCUUCAACUUCAGGCACUUUGAUAUUCAGUGGGUGAUUUUUAUUGUCAUUGCUUUUGCUUGUGUCUCUGUGGAUUCUUUCCACAGGACCAGACUGGUAGUACAGCAAGGUCCAUAUAUUUAGCAAUGAAACUUUACCUACAAUUGCUUUACUCUUAGAAAGAACUUGAAUUGCUGAACUAAUUGAUAAAACACUCUGUUCUGCCUACAGUUCCCUUGUCUGUGCUCAGCACACUUCUGAAUACUGUGCUGGAGCCAAGCCUGUAAAUCAACCAGCUCUUUGUGCCUGCUUGACUUGUCUUGUUUCUGGGUUCAGUCAAGCAUAUUUGCCUAGAGAAGUAUUUCCUUCAGAACAGGACUUCAGCCCCAUUCCUGCCUUCUGUGGCACUGCUCAAGAGGAAUGACAAAGCCUCCUUCUGGAAGGAAGGAGCUCUUCGUUGGUUCUGGGCAAGUCUGGCUGUGGAGUGCCUUGCCCCUGCUCCAUAAUGGACCCACUGACCCCAGGGAGGGUCACACUUGGACAAGGUGUUCAGAAAAAGGCACUGGUAGGCACAGGCCUCUCUGCAGCCUGCCAUGGGCACCGCCUCAACCCUUGGCACGUGUAUUCGUGCACAAGGAGGAGGAGUUCCUGCAAUUGCCCCUGUGGCUCCUCGCUCUUGUUUUAUUUGGAAACAGUGGAAACAGCAGCCUCAAACAUUCCUUUUUUUUUUUUUUAAUCACCUUUGGAUUUUGGUAUUUUUUGUACAAGAGACUCCAGAAAAAAGGAUUAUGUGCUAAGUGGCGACAACCACGUAGUAUCGCAACACUGUCAGAGCUAAGUUAAUUCAGUGCAGAGCUCACGUUCCCUGCUCGGCUUACUGUCCAGACCUUUUCCACCAGUAUGGUCCAAGUCUUUCUGUGUCAUGAAGUACAGAAAGAACAAAACCAAAAAGCUAGUGCAUUAGAAAUCUGACUUGCUGGUGAGAUCUGAACCUUUUAAAGCAGCUGAGGAGACAGGAUUCAUGAGGCCUCUUGUAAGACAACAGAUCUUUGUCUCAAGAAAUUAAACUACAGCGGAUGGGUUUACACACUGGUAAAAUUUGUGUUCCGAAAAAUUGUAACUGCUCUAAAGUAUUAUUGUGUUAUUAUGAAAUAUUGAGAGCUGAAGCAUGGGAGUCAUUGCAGCGUGUGCCAAAUGGCAGAGAAAUGGGAACUCUAUGUUAUAAGCCAUGAAUCCCUUUGCUGUGAAACAUUUCCACCCUCUGCAAGAAAAUGCUUCAGUUUUCCUGUGCAACUGUCUUUGUACCUGAGGAGACGUCCCUAUGCUUGUAACAGCAGUGACCUCAGAGCCCUUCUGGGAGACCACUGAAGUAAGUGAAGACUUUGUGCGAUUCUUACCGUUAACUGAUUAGGUUGGUUAGUUCCUAAAGGGAAAAAUAAAUAAAGCUUCAAUAUGUAAAUAUUCUGCCCAGGAAAAUGCAUUGAUCACAGGGUUAAGUAAGAGUUCCUGCAAGUGCAGGACUAAUGCAUCGCUUGAAAGAAAGUUCAAGAUAUAGAAGGUAAAUGUGAUAAUUGUUUAGUGUCGCCUUAUACGAUUAGCAUUGCCACUCGCUUGUAUUUUUGGAUACAUUAUUUGCUGUGCUAGCACCUAGUGUGGAACAGUAGUGAGGCUUUUAGGAGAUAGUAAAAAAAAAAGAAAAAAAAACUAAAAACCCUAAAAAAGACAGGCUGUAAUGGGUUCAGCCAACAUCCCAGUGGAGGAUUGUUCUGGAAAGACAGCGUGUUCCCAUCUGCACAGCUAGACGACAACAGCAAAGCUUUUUGUGAGCACUCGUGCAAGGCUAUGAACAGACUGUUUGUGCUGUUCCUCUCUCAUAUAUGUGGGUCUUAUACAUAACUAAGAGGUAACUCUAACUGUACGUAAACCUGCUUUUAAAAGAAGCCCAAGAGACUUCUCUAACUUCCAUAUGCACCUAGCAGCCCUUCUGAAGAAGGGACCUGGAUCAUUUCCCGAGUGAGUUCCUUUUUGUCUAAUACAGUAAAUACUGACAAAGGCCCUUUAGAAGCAGGAUGAGUCUGAGAUAAGUCUAUAGUGCAGGGUGCAGAUUCUGUAGCAUGCUUUCAAGGACUUACUGUGGGUAGAUCUAGCCACAGCAGUGAAGCGCUGCACUGAAACUCAUAAGGUCCUGCAGCUACUAAAUUGCUUCCAGUCCUUAAGCAGGCUUGCAUUUCUUUGAAAUAGUCUGCAGUUCCUCGGACACACCCUCCUAACCUCUGGCCCAUGGGGAGCUCCAUUAUUUUUAAUAGCCCUCAUUUAUUACCUGUAGCUUUUUUUCCUAAUUAAUAGAUAUCCAGUAACACAGUUCAGAUUUUGAAAGGAUGAGGGAUUCUUGUAUUGGCCUUGCCUGAUUUAAGUGCUGUACUUCACACUGUAGAGCAUGUUGCCAAAAAGACUUAUUUGAAUGGUGGUGACCCCUCUGUGUUGUUUUCCAGUUUGGUUUGAAUAUCUGUACUACACUGUUCACUGGGCCAAUACUGUCUGUAUGAGGCGUACAGUGAUGCUAGGGACAGGGCAGUAGAUUAAAGGGAUUUGCUGCACUGUUGGUACUCUAUUAGCACUAUUUCACUUCCUGUUAGUGCAGCGAGGAGUUUUCUCAUCACUCCCUUGCAGACCUGUGAACUCUUUCCCAUGAAGGUGGACGCUGGCGGGAGCUCACAGGAUGCACCAACAGCUGUGGACACACCGUGGCUAUCAUCACCUUCCAUCCCCAGGAACUAAGGCAGGUGAAUAUGUGGAGAAGAGUGGCCCUGGCAGGAAGUACAGCAGCAUUUGGUCCUGCUGUAUGUCAGUGCUCGCUCAGGUGGUGACUUUCUGGGGAAAGGCAGCGUUUAGACCUCCGCCUGUUCCUCUCCCUUUGUCGGGGGAGCCCAGCUGCCACUGCACCAUUCUGGGUAAGUCAGCAGAGGGCAGCGCUUUAACAGCAAGGACUUCUUAGCCCUGAAUUAAGGACCAGUUUGCUGUUAUGCAGCUGAAGUAUGCUCCCUUCACCUGCACAGAGAAGCCAGUGAUGGCUUCCUAUUCAGAGUCCCGUGGACAAACCUAGUGUUAAGUGAUACGAGUCAGUAGACAGGGCAUGUGGCAUGCAGGGGAUAAUGGCAGUAGGUGUCUAAGAUCUGUUAAACCUCAACUGGAGAUAGUGUCCAAACUCUGGUGUUUCUGCUAUAUCUAGCCCUGCAUAGGGCUCAUAACAGUGUCAGUGCUAUACUGGACUUUUCAUGGAAGCACCAGACCUGCUGGCUGAGCUGUGUGUAUUGCUAAGAAGAGAGGUCUAAUCCGAUUACCCAAAUACAGAGUUUUUCCUUUCUUGCUCUUGACAGGAGGCAGCGGCUACAGAGAAGGCAUUGCUUAAGGAAUUCUUCACGUGUGGACCUGGAGCAGUCUCUGGCUUGGCUCUAUUAUAGAGAGGCUAUGCUGUCCACCAGAUCUGGAGAAGAAGCUGGCCAGAAAGCUGUUUCCACCCAUGUUCACUACGUUUCAACAUAUUUCCUCACUGUUCGUUGUGAGCUGGUGCUGCUGCUCACCCACUGAUCAGCCAGGCAGGUGUUCCUGCGUGGUACAGCGUCCAUCAGCUCAGUUGCUUCACUUGAAGCCAUGCCCAGCUCCUCCUUGGUUUGGAGGUCACUGAACUUGUUCAUCAACAGCAAGGUUUCAGAAGGAGCAAGAGCCUUUCUCUUCCUAAGAGAAGUGACCACUUUCCAGCCUUUAUCUUCUACAGGGUUAUGACUCACUGUUCCACACAGCACAGAGCCCCCUUGCAUCUCCACUGCUAUGGGGGGGUUGAGACUCUUGAAGCUGUAGGAUCUCCAAGAAUAUCCUAUCUAUCUGUCGCUCAUCUUCUUGGAUGCUACACAGCCUGCUUAAUUCCUGCUCUAACUCCUUCACCUGACAACACAACUCAUCAAGAGCACAUCUUCUGCAGAAAAGUUGACUGUCAGCCCCAACCACUCCCUGCAGCCUGCAGAGUUGCAUCCGCUGUCAGGAGGCCUGUCUGGGUGAAAGCCUCCGACACGGCAGAUACAGCAGCUCCAAUGGCUGCUGGAGAAUACGCUCAGUGGUGUGUCAUAACCGUAUCUGAGGAAGCGUAUGCUACUGUGACUGGGGACAAAGGCACCUUAUUGCACCCUUCUGCACAAACCGCAGCCUCGGUCCACUGCACUCUGGGAGCUGCAUUCUAGGCUUGGCUCUUACAUAGACCUCUCCCUAGCACUGACUGACUGGGUGCUGGACCCACUCUAAUCAAGGGUCACCUGGAACAAAGGCCCCAACUCCCUAUGAUCAGGGGCAGCCAACAGAGCUCAUUAGCAGCAGCUGCACCUAGCUAGAGCUUUCUCAGGAGGAGUUAAGGCCUCCUGUAGCUGUCCUUGCCUAGCUCUACUGACUUGUCUGCAGCAAGCAUCUUCUAACUCCUUGGAGGGUCCCAGAAGGCCCCCACAACUUCCAGCAAAGUUCUCAGAAGGUUCUGAGCAGAGCCCAGACACUGCUGCACAAACUGCUGCCUCUGCUUGCUGCUUCUUUCUUUAGACUGAAAUGAAGAGAUUUCAGAGCCUCUCUUCUUCCACAGCCCCUUCUCAUGUUUUUCUUUGCUGAUGUGCUUGCCGGUAACAAAGUAUGAACUGUCCCCUGGAACGUCAGCAUCGAGAGACCGUUUCCUUAUCAGGUUGCUCUGCAGUAGCUAAUUCAGAAACCUGGUUUAUUUUGUCCUGCCAUUUACAUUGUUUGGCAAGCUGCAGAGUUCAAAUCUACCUGAGGUGCUUUUCCUAUCGCUGUUUUUUCCAUCAGCUCUUCCGAAGAUAAAGUUGCUACAGGCUGGAAAUAGGUUUGGAUCAGCCAAGAAUUCCCUUUUGUUUUUGAACUCCUUGUUGUUUCAGGGGAUCUAUUUCAUUUUUUCGAGUUCUGAUAUUUAUGUUGUAUUGAAGAUUCCUUUUGGAUUGGGUGGGUCACCCAAGCCUGAAAAGCAGUUGAGCACACUUCUCCGGUCAGGCUGCUGAAUUUGACUCUUUUCUCAGAAAGAGGAAUUCCCUGUCUGAAUUGGGUGAGUAAAGGGUGACAGAAAACAUGAAGAGCUGCUUGUCCUAAAGACAGUCUCAGCCUAUAGCAAAGAUGCUUGCUUUGUUCAGAGAAUCUGUUGUUCUUUGUGGUUCAUGUGCUCCCAAUAAAUGGACAUGUCUGGGAAAAGGGUAGCCAAUCCAUCAGCUGUAAUCCGUCUGCUGGAGGGCCCGGUGCUCAGUGCUCUUGAUUGAAUCUGUUAAGGGCAAGUGACAGGCUCUGGCUGCUUAUGUGGGAAGAUGGAGCUGUCUGGGCAUUUUUAGGAACUGGCCAGAAAAAAUUAUUUUACAAAAAUGUGUACUGAAAUAAUGAAAAUGGAAGCCAUUUUGACAACACUUAUGCUUUGUAAAAGCCUGUGUUUUUCAUCUUCCCCUACAGUCAGAAUGACUAGAGACCUCAAGUCAGAAAAUAUAGAGGUGAAAAUGUUAGCACAUUUGAGGCCAUGAGUUCCCCAUGGUAGGCUGAGGAGAGUUCAGUUCUCUGAGGCAUUGCAGUGCCUCAGCACCUCCAGAAUCCCCUGCAUUUUUCUGUGUGCAAUUCUUAAACUGAUAAGCCAUCCUUUGCUUUCCCCGUGCUCAAGGAGAUGAAAAACACAACUCUUUCAACCUUGGGCUUGUCUUGUCACAGUGGUGUUGUGACUAUUGUUCUCUUGCCUUAAUAUUCAUUGCACUUGAGACUCUUAUUCUGAUGUUUAAUCUUCCUGAGAGGGAGUCACUGCUUUCUACAUGUUGUUUUCAUGUGAUAUGUCCUUCCCAUUGCGUCUGUUUUCCUUUUGUUUUCAUGCUCAGCUCCAGAAAACGGCCUCACUGUUCUCUGGUCUUCCAUGGGUCCUUGAGUGGGAUGCUCGUGUGCAGCUGAUUGCAUGCAGCCCCUUGCUGGCACCACAUCAAGCUCACAACCCUAUCAGGAACUUCUUGCUUCUGGCUGGAUAAACAAGGGGUGGGUGUGCUAAGCAUGAUUUUAUUUCCUGUCAAGUGACCCAUCACAGCAUUCUUCUCCUCAGCCCCUUGCAAACCUUCUGGUUCUCAGAGCUGCUUCUGAACUAGCAAACUGAAGGCAGCGCUGGCCCCGAUCAUCUGUGUUCUGCUAGCUAGUGUUCACCCGCACAGUGUCCAGCCUUGUCGGAGGAACUGUAGGGGCCAAGGACUGUUCCCAGCAGGCAGGAUGAGCAAGGCUACCCUGUUCUGGGAAGAGUAGCCGUAUGGGCACAAGCCAUGCUGUGUUACCUGCCCUCUCUAGGUAUGGACAUAGCCCAGGACAUCAUAGUGUGGUGGCUAGAGCUAUAUGGUGUGACAAUUUGAAGUGGCUAGUAAAACCUCUGCAAGUAUGUGCAUGAGCCUAGGAAUAAGGAAGUGAACCUCAGCGCUCUGCUGCUGGAAUUACGUGUGUCACAAAGUUUUUUGCUUCUUAAUUUGAACUGAUUUGGAAAAGCCUUAAGAAAGGAUGUUUCUGAGAAUGUUAAUUCUCCAGUUAAUGAGCUACCCCUAUUCCUGUCCCUCCUAUACUAGACAUUUGAGAAUUAGUAGAUGAGAUUAAAAUUUCAGACUUGUUUUGCCUCUAGUAUAGGAAAUCAGAGUUUUGUUUAAUAUGAAAUGGUGUCUAGUGCCCCUUCAGUGAACUGCUAAAAAGCAGAACAACAACUGGCUUGUAUGCUUUAGAAGUCGUAAAUACCAUUUUACAUGGUUUGGAUCAUAAUAGCUGUAUUCAUUACCCCCUACAGAUUGGCUCUAAUAAUCUAAACAACUUCUCUAUAUGUUGCGUGACUGACAGCAUGCCUAUAAUUCCAGUGAAGCCCUUGGAAAUUGUAUUUAAUCAGCAAUAUGGCAUAAUGUGUGUAAAUUCCUUAUGACUAUGGGCAACUCUAUCCAAUUCAGUGUUGAUACUGCUCAUGUAGUUAAUGGAUAUGCUGCUUAUUUAAUGUUUACUUGCAUUGUAUUUUACUGUGG